ACCACUACUAGCCAUGAAGGAGUCUCCAAACCUCAAACCUCUCCAUCACCAUCACUCUCUCCUCCUCCUUAAUCCAUUCCCUCCACAUGGCCACGUGUCUCCCCUUCCGCUCCAUCCCCUUCAAACCCAACACCUCCUCCUCCUCCGCCUCCCGCCCCGCUAAAAUCACCUGCUCCUCCGUCACCUCCCAAUCCCGCCUCGCCAAGCAAGACCUCCUCGCCCUCAUCGCCGACCAGGACCGCGGCCUCAAGACCCAGACCGACCCCACCAAACGCGCCUCCAUCAUCAAGGCCAUCGACGCCCUGGCCCAUCUCGGCAACGGUACCGUCACCACCGGCAGCGACCUCUCCGCCACGUGGCGGCUGCUGUGGACGACCGAGAAGGAGCAGCUCUUCAUCAUCCAGAACGCGUCCGUGUUCGGCACGCGCGCCGGCGACGUUUUGCAGGUCAUCGAUGUUGACCGGAAGGUCCUCAACAAUGUCAUCACUUUCCCUCCCGAUGGUGUCUUCUUUGUUCGCUCCACCAUCGAAGUCGCUUCGCCGCAGAGAGUGAAUUUUAGGUUUACGAGUGCGGUUCUACGAGGGAAGAGCUGGGAGUUUCCGUUGCCGCCGUUCGGCCAGGGCUGGUUUGAAACUGUAUACCUUGAUGACGAGAUUCGGGUUGUGAAGGAUAUCAGAGAAGACUAUUUGGUUGUAGACCGUGCUCCCUAUGCUUGGACAGAAUGAAGACGAUAAUGUUCGCCACUGACUUCAAUGUUACUCUUAGAUGGACGUAAUGUGGAGAAAACAAUCACAUUUUGAUCCCAUUAUCUGCGCGUUUGAAUCUGUAUGUCAAGAUGAUGAUCUUAGAGUUGAAAAGAAAAUUUGUGGAGAUUCCUUGGUCAGGUGUGUAAGAUUUGGUACUUGAUCUUUUGCAAAUGCUUUAUGAAUCAACCUAUUUCUUCUAUCUUUUUGUCUCCAAAUGUUAUUAUUCCUUCGCAUCGUCAAUUUUCAGUUGUCUCCCGUCGAGUUUUAUGCUUAUUUUUCUUGUGUUCAACACCAUGUUUUUUAGUGUUCAACACAAUCUUGACCAAAAAACAGAAACAAAAAGACCAUGUGUUUUAAAUUCUUACAUCAAAAUUAAAACUAUGUGAAUCUUCUUGAUCCCUCAUCUCUUCUUUUCAAUACUAUCCUAAAAGUCGGGCGUCUUUUUUUGGAUCACAGCUUGAUCAAAAUUUAAACUUGAUAGUGUAUAAGCUAUAAAGGUAAGAAGUCUUUUGCUUGCUGCUGAGAUACAUAACCCGAGGAUGCUCUGUAAGCCUAAGCCCGAAUCAAUGAAAAUCCUACUUCCCUUCUCAGCUUUGUGAUUGGUAUUGACAUUUCUUUGAGGGCUAAGAUAAUCUUGUUAAACAUCCCACCUCAGAAGUCACACCCCCCCACCCAGUAAAAGUGAAGAGAUGAUGUAAGAGGAAUGAAGGAUAUAUGGACUGGAAUUGGAAGCAGAGAUCAGCAAAGCAUAUAAAGUGGAGAUCUUUGUGUCAUUAAGCACCAAGUAGUAGCGUGCAAAUAUUGGUUCCCAUGGCUUUGGGUCAUCAAUUAUUCACCUGCUAAUGGCUUCAGAUUUGCUUUUUCCUGUUUAUGAUUUCCCAAUUCGUGUUUGGUAGCACUAGUUGUAAAAGAACAUUUACCCCACAUGCUUCAAUCAGAGUUCAAUAUUUCCAUUUCCCUUUGA